rnacentral:lncRNA from 1 species
AAAAUUAAAAAAAAAUAGGCAGUUGCCACUUUGUAGAUCAUAAAUAAAAGUGAUGUUAAAAAAAUUUUAAUUGGGAGGUCAUUAAGCCGAAGCAUUCCCAGCACUUUAAGUUCCUAGGUAAGCAAACCAAAGCCCAAUGUGAACAGUAAAAUGAAACUAGAGAAGUUACCAUCAGAAACCUCCAACUAACCUCUAACUAGGGACUUUCUACUCUAACAAAUCAAAUAUGUUUUCUUUGUCUUACUUCCACGUUCCGCCUAUUAAAGCUCACUACCCAUGCUGCUGGGUAGAGCUCUCUGAACCUUUUCUGGUUCUGGGUGCUGCCCAAUUCAUGAAUCCUCUAAUGCUCACAUAAACUCUGUUAAAAGUAUUGUGUCCAGUGUUUUUCUUUUAACAGUGGCAAAAAGACUAACUUACAGGUUCCAUUUUUGUUGACUUGAAUCUUUCGACUCUGAACAAGAGGGACCCCUCACUGGAAUCUCUGUUUUUAUUAUGAUUUUUAUAUAAUGUGCUAGUUUUUACAGAAGUAAUUCAAGUGUACUCCGACAUAUAUGGCUUAAAAACUUUGAUUCAUCAGAAUAAGAGUCAUUUUCUAUUUUACACUCUACUUUCUGCUACAGAAUUAUUUCCAGUUGUCAUGUAUUAAGAUGGAACCCAAAGAAGACAUCAUCCAGCAAGUAACCUUAACAUCUGGACGCAGACAGCCCCAGCAAUCCUGGAGGAAACCUUGGAAAUACGCGGGUCAUCUUCUAUGAAGACCACAGCAGCCCUGAGAAACCAAUACAGCGUUCCAAUCUUUAAAAGAAGAGCCAAACGUCAUGCCUGGAUUAUUCCAGAAUUUUGCUGCUACGAACAAUGCUGCUAAGAUGAGUGUCUUCAAUCACUUGCA